rnacentral:rRNA from 1 species
GCUUAACGCGAAGAACCUUACCCACCUUUGACAUGUACGGAAUUUGCCAGAGAUGGCUUAGUGCUCGAAAGAGAGCCGUAAUACAGGUGCUGCAUGGCUGUCGUCAGCUCGUGUCGUGAGAUGUUGGGUUAAGUCCCGCAACGAGCGCAACCCUUGUCAUUAGUUGCUACGAAAGGGCACUCUAAUGAGACUGCCGGUGACAAACCGGAGGAAGGUGGGGAUGACGUCAAGUCCUCAUGGCCCUUAUAGGUGGGGCUACACACGUCAUACAAUGGCCGGUACAAAGGGCUGCAAACCCGCGAGGGGGAGCCAAUCCAUCAAAGCCGGUCGUAGUCCGGAUCGCAGUCUGCAACUCGACUGCGUGAAGUCGGAAUCGCUAGUAAUCGUGGAUCAGCAUGUCACGGUGAAUACGUUCCCGGGUCUUGUACACACCG